UACGGAGGAUCCAAGCGUUAUCCGGAUUUAUUGGGCUUAAAGGGUGCGUAGGUGGCCUGGUAAGUCAGGGGUGAAAGACGGUAGCUUAACUAUCGCAGUGCCUUUGAUACUGCCGGGCUUGAAUAAACUAGAGGUAGGCGGAAUGUGACAAGUAGCGGUGAAAUGCAUAGAUAUGUCACAGAACACCGAUUGCGAAGGCAGCUUACUAUGGUGUCAUUGACACUGAGGCACGAAAGCGUGGGGAUCAAACAGG
rnacentral:rRNA from 1 species